rnacentral:rRNA from 1 species
GUGGAGCCUGCGGUUUAAUUGGAUUCAACGCCGGACAACUCACCGGAUAAGACAGCAGAAUGAUAGCCGGGCUGAAGACUCUGCUUGACCAGCUGAGAGGAGGUGCAUGGCCGUCGUCAGUUCGUACUGUGAAGCAUCCUGUUAAGUCAGGCAACGAGCGAGACCCACGCCAACAGUUGCCAGCAUGAUCUCCGGAUUGAUGGGGACACUGUUGGGACCGCCUCUGCUAAAGGGGAGGAAGGAAUGGGCAACGGUAGGUCAGCAUGCCCCGAAUUAUCCGGGCUACACGCGGGCUACAAUGGAUGGGACAAUGGGUUUCGACACCGAAAGGUGAAGGUAAUCUCCUAACCCCACCCGUAGUUCGGAUUGCGGGCUGCAACUCGCUCGCAUGAAGCUGGAAUCCGUAGUAAUCGCGUCUCACGAUGGCGCGGUGAAUAUGUCCCUGCUCCUUGCACACACCGCCCGUCAAACCACCCGAGUGGGGUCUGGAUGAGGCGGCAGUUUAUGCUGCUGUCGAAUCUAGGUUC